GUGGCGGACGGGUGAGUAACACGUGGGAACGUGCCUUUAGGUUCGGAAUAACUCAGGGAAACUUGUGCUAAUACCGAAUGUGCCCUUCGGGGGAAAGAUUUAUCGCCUUUAGAGCGGCCCGCGUCUGAUUAGCUAGUUGGUUGAGGUAAUGGCUCACCAAGGCGACGAUCAGUAGCUGGUCUGAGAGGAUGAUCAGCCACAUUGGGACUGAGACACGGCCCAAACUCCUACGGGAGGCAGCAGUGGGGAAUCUUGCGCAAUGGGCGAAAGCCUGACGCAGCCAUGCCGCGUGAAUGAUGAAGGUCUUAGGAUUGUAAAAUUCUUUCACCGGGGACGAUAAUGACGGUACCCGGAGAAGAAGCCCCGGCUAACUUCGUGCCAGCAGCCGCGGUAAUACGAAGGGGGCUAGCGUUGCUCGGAAUUACUGGGCGUAAAGGGAGCGUAGGCGGACAUUUAAGUCAGGGGUGAAAUCCCGGGGCUCAACCUCGGAAUUGCCUUUGAUACUGGAUGUCUUGAGUAUGAGAGAGGUGUGUGGAACUCCGAGUGUAGAGGUGAAAUUCGUAGAUAUUCGGAAGAACACCAGUGGCGAAGGCGACACA
rnacentral:rRNA from 1 species